UGAAUACGAGACGCUAAGGCGUCGAAGUAGUGUAUGUCAUACUUCCAAGAAAAGCUUGCACUGUCAUAGAUAAAAAACGCCUGUACCAUAACCGACACAGGUGGGUAGGUAGAGUAUACUAAGGGGCGCGAGAUAACUCUCUCUAAGGAACUCGGCAAAAUAACUCCGUAACUUCGGGAGAAGGAGUGCCUUAUUCGUAAGGUUGCAAUAACAAGAUCCAAGCAACUGUUUAUCAAAAACACAGGUCUCCGCUAAGUCGUAAGACGAUGUAUGGGGGCUGACGCCUGCCCAGUGCCAGAAGGUUAAAGAAGUUGGUUAGCAAUUGCGAAGCUGAUAACUGAAGCCCUGGUGAACGGCGGCCGUAACAAUAACGGUCCUAAGGUAGCGAAAUUCCUUGUCGGGUAAGUUCCGACCCGCACGAAAGGCGUAAUGAUUUGGAUACUGUCUCGGAGAGGGGCUCGGUGAAAUAGACUUGUCUGUGAAGAUGCGGACUACCUGCACCAGGACAGAAAGACCCUAUGAAGCUUUACUGUAACUUGAAAUUGAAAUUGGACUUUAUUCGCGCAGUAUAGGUGGGAGGCGUUGAUUAUAAUCUUGUGGGAUUAUUGGAGCCAUCAGUGAGAUACCACUCUUGUAAUGUUAGAUUUCUAACUUUGAAUCAUUAUCUGGUCAAAGAACAGUUUCAGGCGGGCAGUUUGACUGGGGCGGUCGCCUCCUAAACGGUAACGGAGGCGUACAAAGGUUUCCUCUGAACGGUUAGAAAUCGUAUCUAGAGUGUAAAGGCAUAAGGAAGCUUGACUGUGAGACCUACAAGUCGAGCAGGGACGAAAGUCGGUCUUAGUGAUCUGACGGUACUGAGUGGAAAGGCCGUCACUCAACGGAUAAAAGUUACUCUAGGAUAACAGGCUGAUCUCCCCCAAGAGUUCACAUCGACGGGGAGGUUUGGCACCUCGAUGUCGGCUCAUCGCAUCCUGGGGCGGUAGUACGUCCCAAGGGUUGGGCUGUUCGCCCAUGAAAGCGGUACGCGAGCUGGGUUCAGAACGUCGUGAGACAGUUCGGUCCAUAUCCGGUGUAGGCGUUAGAAUAUUGAGAGGAGCCUUCCUUAGUACGAGAGGACCGAGAAGGACAUACCUCUGGUGUACCAGUUAUCGUGCCAACGGUAAACGCUGGGUAGCUAUGUAUGGAGUGGAUAACCGCUGAAAGCAUCUAAGUGGGAAGCCCACCUCAAGAUAAGUAUUCGC
rnacentral:rRNA from 1 species